UAGACUAGUAUACAGCCUUUACUAUGUUGAGGUACCUUCUUUCUAAACCUACUUUGGAAAUAAAUGGAUGUUGUACUUUGUCAAAUGCUUUUUCUGCAUCUGUUGAAAGGGUCAUAUGGUUUGUAUCCUUUCUAUUGUUGAUGUGAUAUAACAUGUUGAUUAAUUUGUGAUUAUCAAACC